GAUGAACGCUAGCGAUAGGCCUAACACAUGCAAGUCGAGGGGCAUCACAUGAAGUAGCAAUACGGAUGGUGGCGACCGGCGCACGGGUGAGUAACACGUAUGCAACCUGCCUUCAACAAGGGGGAUAACCCGUUGAAAGACGGACUAAUACCCUAUAACACAGGGGUCCCGCAUGGGAAUAUUUGUUAAAGGACCAACCGGUUGAAGAUGGGCAUGCGUUCCAUUAGCUAGUUGGCGGGGUAACGGCCCACCAAGGCAACGAUGGAUAGGGGAACUGAGAGGUUUAUCCCCCACACUGGUACUGAGACACGGACCAGACUCCUACGGGAGGCAGCAGUGAGGAAUAUUGGUCAAUGGACGCAAGUCUGAACCAGCCACGUCGCGUGAAGGAAGACGGCCCUACGGGUUGUAAACUUCUUUUGCAAGGGAAUAAAGUGGGCCACGUGUGGCCUUUUGCAAGUACCUUGCGAAUAAGGAUCGGCUAACUCCGUG
rnacentral:rRNA from 1 species